UACGUAGGGGGCAAGCGUUGUCCGGAAUCAUUGGGCGUAAAGCGCGCGUAGGCGGUCUUUUAAGUCUGAUGUGAAAGCCCACGGCUCAACCGUGGAGGGUCAUUGGAAACUGGGGGACUUGAGUGCAGAAGAGGAAAGCGGAAUUCCACGUGUAGCGGUGAAAUGCGUAGAGAUGUGGAGGAACACCAGUGGCGAAGGCGGCUUUCUGGUCUGUAACUGACGCUGAGGCGCGAAAGCGUGGGGAGCAAACAGG
rnacentral:rRNA from 1 species